ensembl:lncRNA
AUAUUUUAUAUAAAUUCAUAUAUUUAAUAUUCAAAAUACAUUGCAUAUAUGAAAUAGCACAAUUCCUUCAUUAGAUAGUGAUAUUUUGAAAAGAGAAUUGGUUGGGUAUUUCUUUUUUUUUUUUUUUCAUUUAUUUAAACUGUGUAUUGCUCUACUUCUACAUAUAAGAAAAUUCAAGCUUGGGAAUAUCAAACCUGUCUAAUUUAAGACCCUGCAAUCAUUUGUGAGGCACGUUUGAAUGUUGACUUUGGGAUCUGAAGCUUUAGCAACAAAAUAUUUUUAUUUUGGCACUUACAGUAUUACAGUUCUGGUCUAUAAAGCAAAAUGAUUUUCUACAAGGCAUUUGUGGUAUCAUUAAAAAAGAAGAAAAACAAACAAAAUCAAAUACUUUCACCUCAUUACGACAAGGCACAGAGCACAUUACAAAACAAAACAAAAAAACAUUCAUAAAUUUAUUGCCCAAAUGUACAGAUACAAAACACUAGUGCUGUACAUACUACCUUCAACACCGGCUUAAAAAAGUUUGCAUUUGACCGAGGUCAACUCGUAUUCAUUCUCUUGAUCUUUUAAUACUGUCACAUAUGAAAAUAACUCUGCAUAAUUUAUACAGUAAGAUGCUUUUAAUGCCUAGUUGAUUGACCGUUGAUUAAAAAAUAAUAGCAAAUAGGUCUGACAAACGCACAGCGUUCGCGAAUCUGAGGAUCACACUGGUUUCAACCUUUUGUGUUGUUUUAAAUGUUAACUUGUUUAAUUCAUUUAUUUAUUUAUUUUUUUAAGAGGUACUUUGCAUAAUGUCCACAUUCAACUGUUCAGUGAUUUAAGUAGCUUCAGGUAAUGACUUAAUAAAACAAAGUUACUGUGUUCAGGAACAUCACUUAACAAUAAUGUAAUGAUGACUAAGUAACAUUUGUGAGAUGAGCUAUAGUUGAUUGAAUUUUUACUGGCAAAUAGGAUACAAAUACAAAUCUAUCUUUAUAAACAGAGUGAGGUACAGCGGUGAAAGUAAAACCACUUUGGGCUGCUUUCGAAAUUAACACUAAGUGGAUUCAAAUAUAUCGUCUGCUUCAAGGGCAGUUUUCACAUCAGCACUGACUCUGUGGUUUUGGCUUUGAAUACUGCAUGUUAGUCUUUUACAAUGUUUGAUUGGUUUUCACAAGACCAACCACGAGCCUUUGGCUGGUGCUCAUCUUUUGCCCGUGGAGUGCUACAUACAUUACACUGAAAUUCAUAGGAAUCAAUGUCAGCCUUUUAUUGACUUUCUUACUUUAUAGGAAUGUUACGUUUGAGAUUGUAACCUGCUGAGAAUGUUUCGUUUACGAUUGUGGUGACUGACAUGGACAAAACUCUGUGCAAACCUACAUUUGUUUUCCUCAGCUAUGGCCAAUGUGUCAGAAUUCCAG